UAUUUUAAUCUGUCAUUUCCUGAAUUUUCCUGUGGACAAUUCAGCCUCUUAAUGUAGCGUCUUAGGACGCAUUAAUAGCAAAGAGCUUCUUUCCAACUCGCUCAAGACUAAGGCACAGCACCAGUUAAUUUCAAAGCUCUCUACUGAUGAGUAUCAAGGAUUUGAAAUGGUGUUUGCUAAUAACAGGGCCUUUGUCCUACAAGGUUGCUACAAAUUGUAACCUUUCUGACUUGUCCUUUCCCCAGUAGAGUUCAUAUCCUUCCUUGGUGAGCAUUAUCAGAACUUUUCAUUUUCUUCUUUUGCCUGUGGUUACUCUGUUCUAAUCCCAUGGUUCUUGGUGCUUCCUUGGCUUGGACACCUUUGUAUAGCAACAACAGAUAAAAGGGACUGGUAUCCUGGUUUGUUUUUCAGGCUGACAGGCAUUCAUCUCCUGCUUCAGGUCUGCUUUCAGUGGAGCUCUUCUUGUCCUGCUUGUCCAAACUGUACCCAAGCAGACGCUUUCCAAAGCCACAUGCUGUUCAGCAGAUGUCUGGUCUUUCCCACCUCCUUGCUGCUUCAGGCACUUGCAACUGGUCUGUGCCGUCGUGGGUCCCUGCACGGUGGAAAGAAAACCCUGCUCUCAGUGAAGGAGACAGAGAAAGCGCCCGAGAGUGGGACCAGCCACAGCAGAAUCCAGAAGAGAGAUUUCUGCUACAGAUCAUAUGGGAAAUCAUUCUUAUGAAUGGAUCUCGCGUCCCUCAGAACUGAGCCUGAUCCAAGUCCCACUGAAGUCCAUAGAAGUGAGUGGACUUUCCUUUACAUCAGCGAGUUUUGAAUUGGUUCCUUCCUCCCUCACUGGUAAUGUCAGUAGUCCACAAUGGGUCUUGCAGGCAUUUUUACAGAGCAAUCGAGUACCACUGUGCUUUUGAUUUUAAUACCACAUUUUGAUGAUUUUAAUACUGAUCUGUAUUGUGAUGGCUGGAGUCCUGAGAUAAAAUGAAAUGAGGAUCAUAGCAAACUGAAAAAUGCUUACUGUUUUAAAAGCUAAUGAGAACGCUCCUAGAAAUGCUGAAAGUCAGUGGGAUUUAGAAUGCCAAGGACCUCCAUUAUUUUGGAAGAAACUUCAUCACCUCUAUGAAGAUCAGCUUAGACCUUAUGUAAUAUUACAGAAGGCAGCCAGAACUGUUGAGAGUGAAAAACACGCAAAAUGGCAUCAUUCCCUAUUGUUUCUGAAGGUGUGAAUUCCUCUUUUCCUGAUAUGAAGUAACUAACUUAUCGAUGUCAUCUCCUUCUUCUUUUAAAAGAGGAGUCUGCUGCAUGUUACACAAAGAUGUUUAUAAAUUCCCUCACAUGCCUAUCAAUCCAGA